rnacentral:rRNA from 1 species
AAUCUUCCGCAAUGGACGCAAGUCUGACGGAGCAACGCCGCGUGAGUGAGGAAGGCCUUCGGGUCGUAAAACUCUGUUAUCAGGGAAGAACAAGUGCCGGUUACCUGCCGGUGCCAUGACGGUACCUGACCAGAAAGCCACGGCUAACUACGUGCCAGCAGCCGCGGUAAUACGUAGGUGGCAAGCGUUGUCCGGAAUUAUUGGGCGUAAAGCGCGCGCAGGCGGCUUCUUAAGUCUGAUGUGAAAGCCCAAGGCUCAACCGUGGAGGGUCAUUGGAAACUGGGAGGCUUGAGUGCAGAAGAGGAGAGCGGAAUUCCACGUGUAGCGGUGAAAUGCGUAGAGAUGUGGAGGAACACCAGUGGCGAAGGCGGCUUUCUGGUCUGUAACUGACGCUGAGGCGCGAAAGCGUGGGGAGCAAACAG